ACUGAACGCUGGCGGCAUGCUUUACACAUGCAAGUCGAGCGCCCCGCAAGGGGAGCGGCAGACGGGUGAGUAACGCGUGGGAAUCUACCCAUCUCUACGGAAUAACGCAUGGAAACGUGUGCUAAUACCGUAUACGUCCUCCGGGAGAAAGAUUUAUCGGAGAUGGAUGAGCCCGCGUUGGAUUAGCUAGUUGGUGGGGUAAAGGCCUACCAAGGCGACGAUCCAUAGCUGGUCUGAGAGGAUGAUCAGCCACACUGGGACUGAGACACGGCCCAGACUCCUACGGGAGGCAGCAGUGGGGAAUAUUGGACAAUGGGCGCAAGCCUGAUCCAGCCAUGCCGCGUGAGUGAUGAAGGCCCUAGGGUUGUAAAGCUCUUUCACCGGUGAAGAUAAUGACGGUAACCGGAGAAGAAGCCCCGGCUAACUUCGUGCCAGCAGCCGCCGUAAUAC
rnacentral:rRNA from 1 species